UACGAAGGGGGCUAGCGUUGUUCGGAGUUACUGGGCGUAAAGGGUGUGUAGGCGGUUGUUUAAGUUUGGUGUGAAAUCUCCCGGCUCAACUGGGAGGGUGCGCCGAAUACUGAAUGACUUGGAGUGCGGGAGAGGAGAGUGGAAUUCCUGGUGUAGCGGUGAAAUGCGUAGAUAUCAGGAGGAACACCGGUGGUGUAGACGGCUCUCUGGACCGUAACUGACGCUGAGACACGAAAGCGUGGGUAGCAAACAGG
rnacentral:rRNA from 1 species